UGUCCAAAUACCCCCUGCUGGCAAGGACUCUAAAUGCAGCGGCUUUGGCUUUUAACAGGGUAUCUGGGUUCACUGUCAAAUUUUAGCCAAUUUAUGCUCAUUUCGUGAGGUUAAUGGGCAAGGCAUUGAGGCAUUGGUAACAGCUGCAGAGUGGUGGACGCUGGGCUGUGCUGUCCGCCUGAGUGCCAGGCCUGAGAUGACAUGUUCCUGGUCCUCAGAGUUGGGCCGGGAAUGAGGGUCUGGUGUAUUGUCCUAUCCAGUCCUGCAGGCUGCCAGGCGCCUUAAUGCCCAAAUUAAUUUUAAAGAGUUUAUUUUUUCGCACUCCACACAGACAAGAACACACACACACGCACACACGUGAACACACACACACACACACACACACACACACACACACACACACGAUGGUCAGUUCUAUUGUUUUCUUUUGGAUGGAUGACUUAUGCCUUUUCCUCUUUUUCAAACCCAAUGUUUUAUAUUCGUAGCCUUAAGACAACAUGUUUUGCUUGCCACCUCUGCUUGACUAUAUAUGUGUGAAAUGCAGAUCCGGGCGACAGGGGGAGAAGGGAGAGAGAGGGAGCCAGAGAGGCAAAGAGAGAGAGGGAGAGGGAGAGAGAGAGGCAGAGAAGAAGAAGGUGAGAGGGAGGAGGGCAGAGAGAGGGCACGACAAAGAGAAAGAAAGAGAGGGUAAAAGAGGGAAAGAGAGAUGGGGGAGAAGGAGGAGAGAAAGAGAGAGAGAGAGAGAGAGAGAGAGAGAGAGAGAGAGAGAGAGAGAGAGAGAGAGAGAGAGAGAGAGAGAGAGAGAGAGAGAGAGAGAGAGGGAAACCGGUAGAGCUUUGACGCCACAUGAUCUGUCGCGUGUCAGCCAGGCUCCAUCAUUCCACCCCCAGGUGGGUCUCCCUCUGGCGUGCAAGACUUUUCUGUAACAAUCUUUUCUUCUCCUCCUCUUCCACCUGUUCCCCCUCCUCCCUCUCCCGCUGCUCCUUCACAGAGAAGCCGAUGGCGCGGGGCCCCCCCGGGGGGGUGAUCGGGGUCCUGGGGGGCAUAGUCGCCAUCGGUCUGAUCAUCGCUGUGGCGAUCACUGUCGUCAUGAUGCACCGGCGCCAGCAGAAGACGGCCACAGAGACGGAUAACGACCUCAUUGCUGUGGCGGCUGUGGUGGCUGAUAGCUCUGUACCGCAGGCUCCAGAGAAGCCCGGCUCCUCCUCCUCCUCCUCCCCCACCAGGGCCGACCUCCCACCCGCACACAAGCCCGCCCCUCCCCCGCCGAAGAAGAAGACCUGCGACAUGAAGGGACACCUGACUUCUGAGGACAUCCAGGUGGUGCACCUGGACAAGGACGAGGAGAUGCAGAAGCUUCCCCUCCAGCCUCCAUACUACGACAUGGCGCCCUCUGAGUCAACCCCCUUCACCGAUAAAAUGAACUGUGGGCGGCGCCCAGAAGACGUUCUGAACCCGGCCCCGUACGUGACCUACCAGCCGAUCUGCUCCAUGGAAACCUUCUCCCAGCCAGCCCCACCACCGGCAGCACACCCCCAGCCUCCCACCUCCUUCCUGCCCCAACACCCCUACGCCCACCCCCACCGCCCUCUGCACCAGCAGCCUCCGGGCCAAGAGAUCUCCUACCCCCCCAACAUGGGCCACCCUGUGCCUGGUCCGCGAGCCCCCUUCACCUACUCCAGGGAGCAGUCGGUGUGAGGCGCGGUGACCCCCGCAGUAACCCCCCCCCCCCCCCCCCCCCCCACACACACCUCCGAGGAUCUACGCAACGACCAGCGGAACCGUGACUGCGACGCCUCCCCCUGUCUCCCUCCAACUCCUCCACACGUCGGUGUAGUGUGAGCUCAGUAUACGGGUGGUGUCUUUUAUAUGUGAGCUGUCUCCGUCCUCCCUCUGUGACCCCCCCCCCCCCCCUUGUCCCUACCUUGUGUGUCGUGCACUGCUUGUAUCACGGAAGGCGUAGCGUAUAGAAACACGACACCUAGUGCUGUUAGCCGUUAGACGCUGUUAUCUCCCCACCGCCCUCCUCCAACCUCCUCCACCCCUCUCCGCUGCUCCCUUGUGCCCGUGGGAUCCGGGUCCUCAUUCCCAACGCUACGUGUCUAACCAUGUACUGUGUUUGCCAUUCUUUUGUUUAUUCGGUCGCUUUUUCAAUUUCGUUUUUUAUUUGACUCACCGCGGCCGUGACCGCUUAUAUCCGUGUUCAUUGUUGCUUUUUUCCGUUGUUUUUUUUGUCGAUUAUAUGCUUGCUUCUUCAAGAAAAACUACAUAACGUACUGUAUUUGUGAUUUGGAUGUGUAAUCUGAAAAAAAUGAUGUAACUAUUAAUACUUUUUUAGAAUUGUUUACCUAUAAAUAGGACAUGGCCUGCCCCCCUUUUUCAUGAGUUAUUGGCAGAGUGGUCGGAAUUGGCAGUUACUCCCUUCUUCCCCUCGUCAUUAAAAAACUGCAGCCAUAUUUGAUUCGAUUUAGAUAGGUUGAAUUAUAAGAAAGACACGUUGUCCUCACCAUAAAAUAAGAACAGAUAAGGGCUAAAAAUAAGCAACUAUUUUUCCCUCUUACAUGACAGUAUAUUAAUAUAAUUAUUAUUAAUGUUAUUAUUAAUAUUAUUCAUAGCAGUAUUGUUAGUUGCCAAGGCUAGGAGCAUUCUAUUUUGCUAAUGUGUAUUUUUAGUCAUAUUAUUUUGUAUUGUUUUCCAUUUGCUUCCAUGCUAACGUUUACAUUCGACCGUAUUUGUUCAAGGGAAUGUACAGCGAAGAUUGGCAACAUGCUCAGCUAGUUUACAUUACUGCUUGCCACACGCUGUGUUUCUAAAUGGAGUUUACUGGAAGGUUAAUUAACGCAAGGGUCCUAGGUGGGAUUUUUUAUCGAGGGGGGGAACAGAGCCUCCUCUACGCAGGUGCAAUAGAUGAAUAUGACAAUCACUUUUUAGGGCUGCCCUAGGAAAACUUUGUUUUUCAUGGUUUAUUCAAGGUUUGUUUAGUUUUCAUUUAUUUAUUUAUUUUUUACUAAUUGCUCAAAAAGCCAACUUUUUUUUCCCAGGACAGCCCUCCCACAUAUUGAAAUGUUUUAUUUUAGGAUUGCACCUCUCAAAAGCCUAAAGAGUUGAACAAUAAUCCGCUGAAGAAAGAGCUUGCUACUGUAUUUUUCUAGAGAACACUUCCGUAUAGACUGUAUCGAUUGAGCUUUACAAAUAUAUAACACACACUGUGACUGUCGCUAUUAAACCAUACAUAAGCUAACUCUCCUACGACGAGCCAACUCUAACACACUGCCACCAACACACACAACACGUCCACGACACAUAACACAACUGCAUAAAUAACUGAAAGGUUCACACAUUUUCUUUUUGCCAUGUCAGGUUUGUGUAUAGGAUAAAAAAUGAGAAUACUUGUGUUUGUGCUCGAUGUGAAAGAUGUUUAAAAAAUGACAAGUAGAUUAACCCUUGAGAUGUUGAAGGUGUUAGUGUUUACUCUUGACGGUUGUAUGAAUUUGGGUAAAAAAAAUCUCCUUUUGCUCAUUGUUGUCCUGCGAUGGCUGAAUCGGUGUGCGAGUUCUGAGUGGAACCGGUUUCGUCCGGUUUGAACUGCAGCAUCGACAUGUUGUCUUGGUGUAACUGCUGUAUGAAAACACAAACACACAGAAUGCUUUCUUGUGACACAUUGUUAAUAACAACCUCCCUUAUUAUUAUUAUUAUUAUUACUAUCGUUAUUAUAAUUAUGACUAUAACUGUGAUUAAUAUUAUUACCGCUACUGCAUUCUUGGAAUGAAAUGUACUUCUAUUUAUUUCUAAAUUGUUUUGUCUGUCCUCAAUUGUGUUGACCUUCAUCUUUUUCUAUGAUUUUUGUUUAUAACUUUUCUUUUGUUUCAUGUUACUUUUCUUUUUCUAAAUAGUGCGUAUAUUUCUCUUGAAACCCUCAUCUGUACAUUUGAGUGGACGGUAAUCAUCUGAUGUAGCAGACACUACUAGAGCUGCGGUAGGAAAGAAAGUGUGGAAGAAUUUAACCAUUAUUUUUUACAUCCUGAGUUCUUUGUGUAAAUAUUAACAGUGUAUCUGGUGUGUUGAAAAAAAGAAACAAAAAAAAAGAACAAGCCAUGCAGGUUAACAUUAAACUUCACUAAUGAUCCAUGUAAUAUGUGUGGUGUUUGUGUCUUAAUCAUUCUAUCCACCAUCCAUCCAUCCAUCCACCCCCACCUGCUUUAGCAUGUAAACAUGUAUGCGCACACACACACACACACACACACACACACACACACACACACACACACACACACACACACACACACACACACACACACACACACACACACACACACACACACACACACAAUAUGACAGUGGAGUCUCAAUAUUCAUUCUAAACAUCCACCAUUCAAAAGG
rnacentral:lncRNA from 1 species